GGGUGGUGGAGUCACAGCAAAAUGCAAAUUUGAAGAAGCACCCCAAAAGGUGCCCCGGCU
rnacentral:tRNA from 1 species